rnacentral:rRNA from 1 species
GAAUAUUGGACAAUGGGCGCAAGCCUGAUCCAGCAAUGCCGCGUGAGUGAAGAAGGCCCUAGGGUUGUAAAGCUCUUUCGCCCGCGACGAUGAUGACGGUAGCGGGAGAAGAAGCCCCGGCUAACUCCGUGCCAGCAGCCGCGGUAAUACGGAGGGGGCUAGCGUUGUUCGGAAUUACUGGGCGUAAAGGGCGCGUAGGCGGCCCGCCAAGUCCGGCGUGAAAGUCCUGGGCUCAACCCGGGGACGGCGCUGGAGACUGGCGGGCUGGAGUCCGGGAGAGGGUGGCGGAAUUCCCAGUGUAGAGGUGAAAUUCGUAGAUAUUGGGAAGAACACCGGUGGCGAAGGCGGCCACCUGGCCCGGGACUGACGCUGAGGCGCGAAAGCGUGGGGAGCAAACAG